UAGGGAAUCUUCGGCAAUGGACGAAAGUCUGACCGAGCAACGCCGCGUGAGUGAAGAAGGUUUUCGGAUCGUAAAACUCUGUUGUUAGAGAAGAACAAGGACGUUAGUAACUGAACGUCCCCUGACGGUAUCUAACCAGAAAGCCACGGCCAACUACGUGCCAGCAGCCGCGGUAAUACGUAGGUGGCAAGCGUUGUCCGGAUUUAUUGGGCGUAAAGCGAGCGCAGGCGGUUUCUUAAGUCUGAUGUGAAAGCCCCCGGCUCAACCGGGGAGGGUCAUUGGAAACUGGGAGACUUGAGUGCAGAAGAGGAGAGUGGAAUUCCAUGUGUAGCGGUGAAAUGCGUAGAUAUAUGGAGGAACACCAGUGGCGAAGGCGGCUCUCUGGUCUGUAACUGACGCUGAGGCUCGAAAGCGUGGGGAGCAAACAGG
rnacentral:rRNA from 2 species